rnacentral:snRNA from 1 species
GUGCUCGCUUCAGCAGCACAUGUACUAAAAUUGGAACGAUACAGAGAAGAUUAGCAUGGCCCUUGCGCAAGGAUGACACACAAAUUCGUGAAGCAUUCCAUGUUUUU